rnacentral:lncRNA from 1 species
UUCAUCUGUUUUAACUGAUUGCUUGUUUAGGAUUUAUUAUAGUUUAAACACAUUGGACAUUCUGUCCUAUAAAGAGAAAAUACUGUUUAAACCUUAAGUUCACCCACUUGAGUUUAACACAUAAUUCAUAAAAUGCAAAAUAUUAUCUUUUAGUUAUCCUCAAAAUAAGAGACCUGUUCACAUGGAUCGAGCCUGCUUAUUCAGGUGGUCCACAAUUAGUGAAAAUCUGUUUGCAACCACUGGUUAUCCUGGCAAAAUGGCAAGCCAGUUUCAAAUUCAUCAUUUAGGACACCCUCAGCCCAUCCUCAUGGGUUCUGUAGCCGUUGGAUCUGGACUGUCCUGGCAUCGAACUCUCCCUCUGUGUGUAAUUGGAGGAGACCACAAGCUGUUGUUUUGGGUGACUGAAGUAUAAAGUGUUUUCUGUACCUUAGAUUCACAAACUUUGUAUUUUUAGUACAUAUUUUGAAGAAUUUCUAUAGUACAUAUUUUGAAGAAUUUUUAUAUCAAAUAUACCGUAUACUUUAGAAAAUGUCUCAGUUGCUUUUAUUAAAUAAAAUGUUGAUGGUUUGAAAAAUUA